GCAUCCUUGGAAGUCCAGGUUCUCUGCCCUCAGAAGGCAGAGGUCACAGGUUCGAAUCCUGUCGGGUGCGCCA
rnacentral:tRNA from 1 species